rnacentral:rRNA from 1 species
AUUGAACGCUGGCGGCAGGCCUAACACAUGCAAGUCGAGCGGAUGAAGGGAGCUUGCUCCUGGAUUCAGCGGCGGACGGGUGAGUAAUGCCUAGGAAUCUGCCUGGUUGUGGGGGAUAACGUCCGGAAACGGGCGCUAAUACCGCAUACGUCCUGCGGCAGAAAGUUGGGGAUCUUCGGACCUCACGCUCUCAGAUGAGCCUAGGUCGGAUUAGCUAGUUGGUGGGGUAAAGGCCUACCAAGGCGACGAUCCGUAACUGGUCUGAGAGGAUGAUAAGUCACACUGGAGCUGAGACACGGUCAAGACUCCUAAGGGAGGCAGCAGUGGGGAAUAUUGGACAGUGGGCGAAAGCAUGAUCCAGCCAGGGCGCGUGUGUGAAGAAGGUCUUCGGAUUGUAAAGAACUUUAAGUGGGGAGGAAGGGCAGUAAGUUAAGACCUUGCUGGUGUGACGUUACCAACAGAAUAAGCACCGGCUAACUACGUG